GACGAACGCUGGCGGCGUGCCUAAUACAUGCGAGUAGAACGCUGAAGGAGGAUCUUGCUUCUCUGGCUGAGUUGCGAACGAGUGAGUAACGCGUAGGUAACCUGCCUGGUAGCGGGGGAUACCUAUUGGAAACGCUAGCUAAUACCGCAUAAUAGUAGAUGUUGCAUGACAUUUGCUUAAAAGGUGCAAUUGCAUCACUACCAGAUGGACCUGCGUUGUAUUAGCUAGUUGGUGGGGUAACGGCUCACCAAGGCGACGAUACAUAGCCGACCUGAGAGGGUGAUCAGCCACACUGGGACGGGAACACGGCCCAGACUCCUACGGGAGGCAGCAGUAGGGAAUCUUCGGCAAUGGACGGAAGUCUGACCGAGCAACGCCGCGUGAGUGAAGAAGGUUUUCGGAUCGUAAAGCUCUGUUGUAAGAGAAGAACGAGUGUGAGAGUGGAAAGUUCACACUGUGACGGUAUCUUACCAGAAAGGGACGGCUAACUACGUG
rnacentral:rRNA from 1 species